AUUGAACGCUGGCGGCAGGCCUAACACAUGCAAGUCGAGCGGACGAAGGGAGCUUGCUCCUGGCUUCCGCGACGGACGGGCGAGUAAUUCCUAGGAAUCUGCCUGAUCUUGGAGGCUAACGUCAGGUCACGGGCGCUAAUACAGCAUACGUCCAUAUAGUGAACGUGGUGGAUCUUCGGACCUCACGCUAUCAGAUGAGCCUAGGACGGAUUAGCUAGUUGGUUGGGUAACGGCCUACCAAGGCGACGAUCCGUAACUGACCUGAGAGGAUGAUCAGACACACUGGAACUGAGACACGGUCCAGACUCCUACGGGAGGCAGCAGUAGGGAAUCUUCGACAAUGGGCGAAAGCCUGACGGAGCCACGCCGCGUGAGUGAUGAAGGUCUUCGGAUCGUAAAGCACUGUUAGUUGGGAGGAAGGAAAGUAAGAUAAUAUAUGGAUGUCUUGACGGUACCUAAAGAAUAAGCACCGGCUAACUUCGUG
rnacentral:rRNA from 1 species